rnacentral:rRNA from 1 species
AAUCAACGCUGGCGGCGUGCCUCACACAUGCAAGUCGAGCGAGAAAAGGGGAGCAAUCUCCUGAGUACAGCGGCGCACGGGUGAGUAACACGUGGGUAAUCUGCCCUGGAGUGGGGAAUAACACCGGGAAACCGGUGCUAAUACCGCAUACGAUAGCGAAAUCCUCGGAUUUUGUUAUGAAAGGAGCAAUUCGCUCUGGGAGGAGCCCGCGGCUGAUUAGCUAGUUGGUGAGGUAAUGGCUCACCAAGGCUGCGAUCAGUAUCCGGUCUGAGAGGACGGUCGGACACACUGGAACUGAGACACGGUCCAGACUCCUACGGGAGGCAGCAGUGGGGAAUUUUUCGCAAUGGGGGCAACCCUGACGAAGCAACGCCGCGUGGGUGAUGAAGUCUCUUGGGACGUAAAACCCUUUCGACGGGGAAGAAACCGCAAGGUUGACGGUACCCGUAGAAGAAGCCCCGGCUAACUCCGUGCCAGCCGCCGCAGUAAAAC